UAGAGGCGGGUUUCUGCCUCUAGUCUCUCACUGUACGCUUCCGUGUUUCCGUGCAGUACAGACUGUAGGGCUGUGUGGUGUAUCCGACUUGCCGGUGGAGAGAAAAACCUUUUCUAGUAUACAAAGAAGCGGACUUUCUAGUAUACAAAGAAGCGACGACUGCUUUUGUGGGAAACCUGCUCAUUUUGUCGCUCACGACAACGAUUUCGAAGAUCGAAUUUGAUCUAAUUUAUUUAGCUUGAAUUAAUUUGAAAUAAAGUCUGCCUCCCACCUCAUGAGUUUAUAAAAGCUGGACCGGUAUACUGCUCCGCAAUCACGAGCCUGUAAAUAGCGAGUAUCGUCCUAAGGCGGUUUUGAAAUGAGUCGUAAGACGAUUGACAGAAUUGUCGCCUUACGACAGAUAAUUUUCGACAUAGUAGGCCAACUACAAAUAAUACGUUUCCGUGGAGGAAAGUAUCCGCGAGCAGAGUGAGUCCAAAAAUGCACUCGGCCUCUGUCGCGAGUAGUGGUAGCGGUAGUGGCUCAACUUUCUUCCUGAAUCAUCUCCUAAAUAUCCUCGACUGUCGCUGAUCCUCCACUACUUCAUGAUUCACUUUUGACAUUUCUCUUUCUGAUCAGGGAUUUUCCGAAUAAGGACACGAGCGCAGUCGAUCAGUCCGCCAUGGUCAUAAGGAAGUGGAUGAGAACUUGACGGAUUACCUUUUUUUUUUUUGCUCUCCGCGGCAUAGAAGAUCUUUACUUUGAUUCUUCACUACAUAAAACGGAGCGUCACAGAAGUUUAAAUCAGGCUACAUUUAUUUAAAAUCUGCUCAUUCUGAUGGCGGUCCAUACAGCAGUGCUUGCUUAUUUUUUCGGUCAUUAUCAUGUUGUAGUUUUUGGGUUGAAACCAGAGAGAAAGAUGUUUUCCUGCGUUUUGGUAUCGUGGUCCGAGGUGAGGCUCCAAAAAACGUUUCUGCGUCUCCUCAAACGCGUUCACUUUAUAUGCUGAAGCGUCGAAUUUGUUACUUCUAAUAACUGCGGUUUCCGCGUCGAGAUAGACUGCGACUUAGGGGAAGUUCCACCCCUGCUCUUGCUUCUGAUAGUUUUUUUUACUUACGUAAGCUGUGGGAGUCGGCCUCCCCGCUCUGAGAGCCAUUAAAAACGCCUGCCUGCGUGCAGGAUGUGUUGUGGACUGAGUUUAUCUGACAUGUACAUUUAUAAACAGCUGUGCGACAACAAAGUCAUCGGAAGACGGACUUUCUUCUCAGCAAAAUACAAGAAAUUAUUUCAAAAAGGAAAAUAUGAGUACAGCUCAAUACAUCUGUGACGGUAAGCUGAAUCUGCUGCUUUCUUUAAAUGACUACACUAUAUGGCCACAAUUUUGUGGGCAUCAGACCCAUGUGUCCUUGUAGAACAUCCCAUUCCAGAUUUAUUCCCCAUUUGCCAUUAUAAUAACCUCCACUCUUCUGGGAAGGCUUUGCACUAGAUUUUGGAGCGUGGCUGUGGGGAUUUGUGCUCAGUCAUCCACAAAUGCAUUAGUGACGAGGUAUUGUAAUGCUGGAACAUCAGUCUCAGUCUUAGUUCCAGUCAAGGAAAAUUGUAAUGCUGCACCAUACAAAUACAUUCUAGACAAUUGUGUACAUCCAAAUUUGUGACCACAUACAGUGUAGAUUAGACAUGGUGCACGUCAUAUGAUCAGACAAUAUUUAUAAUAAUUAGCCACUAUUUGUGUUGGUUUGUCUCGCGCUCCAGUAGGACUCGCGCUCCCGUGGCGACUGUUUGUCUAUACUGCUUGAGCAGAGACUCCGAUAUUUUAAGGAAUUUCAUCUCAGACUCUCAUCGGCUGUUUGUUAGCUGUACUUGCUACUAUUCGCGGAGAGGUUCACACUACGCGAUUCAUUCUAGAGAAUAACAUGCUGGAAAAUACCUGGAAAAUACAUAAUGUAUUAACUAUGAACUAGUUUAUUUUGUUGAUUGUUUCUCCUUGACUCAGGUGUGUGCACUGCAGUGCUCAGCGGUGUGUCUGAGAUCUGCGAGAUGCUCGUGAACGUCUUCGCAUGUGGAGGAGAAAUACAUGAUCAGGAUGUAGCAGCAGAUCAUUCCGCAGAGUCAGGAGAAGAAGUUGUGAGACUUUCAGUGGAGGAAACUGGACCGGCCGGGACCCAACACUCAGUGCGUCCUUUCUUCUCCACAGAUCCAUGAGACACCUCCUCCGUCAUGACAUGGAUCCCAACCUUGAGGUCACUCCAGUGCCAGUCUUCCACGUGUCCUGCUGUGGUCAUUUCACCAACUUUUGGUGUUAUCAAUUUGGUGUUAUCAUGGCAUGCUUAAUUUUAGCGGAGACGUUAGCCACAGCUUUAUACUCGCUCGCUUCGGUUUUUUACUUGUUGCUCUGUAAUCAUAUUUCUUGCCGUGACCAAUUUAAAAAAAAAUGGCUGAACAGAUCUGUGUUGCUAAUACUCUAUAACGUGUCUUUUUAAUACAUCAAAGAGAAGUAGGGGUUGGCUGCUAUUUUUCUUGGGGAUUGUUUUAAAUAGAUAUAGUGCAUAUACACUCGAAUCAAUAUUACAUUUGAAAUACAAUGUGUAUAAUAGUGUAUUAUAAUAUAUAAUAACAUAAUAGUUUUAUAUUGUUUAACAUUCUAAAUAAUUUUGUACUUACAUAGACAUAUGUUUUGUUUAUUAUUUAUAAUAUUGGAAUAAUGAUUUGGUUAAUUAUUUGUAUACAAUAAUCAAUAAAUUGAUUUGAAACUGA